rnacentral:rRNA from 1 species
UACGGAGGGUGCGAGCGUUGUUCGGAAUCACUGGGCGUAAAGCGCGUGUAGGCGGUCCGUUGAGUCUGGUGUGAAAGCCCGGGGCUCACCCCCGGAAGUGCACUGGAAACUGACGGACUCGAGUCCCGGAGAGGAGAGUAGAAUUCCUGGUGUAGCGGUGAAAUGCGUAGAUAUCAGGAGGAAUACCGGUGGCGAAGGCGGCUCUCUGGACGGUGACUGACGCUGAGACGCGAAAGCGUGGGGAGCAAACAGG